rfam:Callithrix jacchus chromosome 1, whole genome shotgun sequence
CAAAUGGCCCUUUGCAGGGCCAUUUCAAAAUAUAAUAAAAAUAUAU